rnacentral:rRNA from 1 species
UACGUAGGUGGCAAGCGUUGUCCGGAUUUACUGGGCGUAAAGGGCGUGCAGGCGGUCUGUUAAGUUCAGGGUGAAAGCUCCCGGCUCAACUGGGAGAGGUCCUUGGAUACUGGCAGACUUGAGGGAGGUAGAGGAGAGUGGAAUUCCCGGUGUAGUGGUGAUAUGCGUAGAUAUCGGGAGGAACACCAGUGGCGAAGGCGGCUCUCUGGGCCUUUCCUGACGCUGAGACGCGAAAGCGUGGGGAGCGAACCGGG